rnacentral:lncRNA from 1 species
AAAGCACCAAAUUUAUAUUAAGGAGGCAAGCUUCUUUAGGAGAAUAUGGAAUCUUUGAUUACAAAUAGGUUGCAAGAAAGCAUAAUGUUGUCUCAAUAAACUUAAAUAUAAAAAAUUAAUCCAAAGGUUGAGUAUAAUAUUUAGAUUAAUUCCUUUUUUGUAUCAAGAUACAUCUAAUUCCUAACCUCUUUUUAUUAAAAUAUCUAUAACUUAUUUUUUACUAAUCCAAUAUAGGAAAAGCUUAAUUUAUUGAACUUAAUUCAAGCUAAAAACUUCAAAAUUUUAAAAUCAAUAAAUAUUUUUUUAAAAAAAAUGAGAGCAAAACUAAAGAAAACUUUUACUCCUUGCUAUAGCUAUAGCCUUUAAAACUCCUUUCUACAAAUUUUCUUGGAUCUUCUUUAUUACAUCUUUUUUUCUU